AGAAAAAACUUUUCUAGAUCUAGAUCUGUGGCUACACUUUCCUUCUCAUCCUCCUCUCUCUGACUCUCUCUCUCUCUCGCUACAGCUCUCUGCUCUUAUCGAUCUUCUCUUCCAUGGCCACCCCGACCUCUACCACCUCUCUUAUUUCCUCUAUUAAUCACUCUAUAACGAUAUGGUGGUGGUGGAAUCACUGGGAUGGCUGACGGAGUCGACCAUAAUGCCAAGAAGCACCGCGCGACGGCGUCGGAGCCUCUUCGAUCAUGGAGCUCAAAGCCUAGCUUUACCAGUCUCAAGAAGAUUCCAAGAAGUACAAAGACCUCGCAGACCCCGACGCCGAGUUCCACCGCGCUAAGUAGAAGAUCACCGCUCACAAUGUCUUCUCUGCCAAGAACUCCGGCAUCGACGCCUAGGCCCACAGGCAAGUUGAGGGGGAAACACGUGUCGGUGUGUUUGCUGCAAGAUCAAUAGAAGUCGGAGAGCCAUUAACAUAUGAUUAUAGGAGGAGAAUGGAGGCCCCUACAAGGCAUCAAUUCCAUUGACUCAGGCCACAAGCCCAGAAGCAGAUGUUUUACUUGCUUAUGAGAUGAAUGGAGAGAAGAGAAGAACCUUCAGUAGGCUGCGCCUUUCAGGACCGGUGGCUGUCAUCAUGGGUGUGGUAAUUAAACAGCGGAACCACAUUUAGUAAUUGAUCAUUAUCUCACGGAUCUAAGUAAGAUCAAUCUGUAGAGAAAGAUGUUAAAUAGAUUUCAUAUAAGUGAUGCAAUAAUAUUAAUGAAAUGGUCAAGCUUAAAUAUUAUCUGUAUGUAAUAAGAAACCAAGAUCUCUGUAUUAACAGAAAUAAGAGCUCCUGCUCUUGAUAUAUUGGAAGUUCUUCUAGCACACAUUGUUCUUAAUUUA